rnacentral:lncRNA from 1 species
CACAUCAGUUUGAGAUCUCUGGUACUGAGUGCUUGACACACAUUAUCUUAUUUAAUCUCACAAAAUCCCCAUAAAGCUAGAAUUAAUUAUUAUCCCCAUUUUUAUAGAUAAGGAAACUAAGGCCCAGAGAAUUUAAGUCAUGCACCCAAGAUCAGCCAGUGAGUAAGGAGCAGAGGCAGGAUUUGAACCUCCCAAGUGCUUUGAACCACUAAGCCAGUGAUUCUCAAACCUUACUACUAAUAAGAAUCACUUACAAAACAUAUUAAAAUAUCCCUGGUAGUCUAGUAGCUAGGAAUAAAAGAAGAAGAAGAAAAAAAACCGUUAAAAUAGAGACUUCUGGGCCCUGCCCCGCCCUUAAAGACUCCUAUUUAGUAGGUCUAGAGUCGAUUUUCACAGUCCCAUGGCAAUACAAAUGUUAGGUCAUCCGUGGACCUCGCUUUCUUUUGAAUUAUGGGAAGGGCUUUCGCGAGGAGGGAAGAGAUGAGCAC